GGCUCAGGACGAACGCUGGCGGCGUGCUUAACACAUGCAAGUCGAACGAUGAAGCCCAGCUUGCUGGGUGGAUUAGUGGCGAACGGGUGAGUAACACGUGAGUAACCUGCCCUUGACUCUGGGAUAAGCGUUGGAAACGACGUCUAAUACCGGAUACGAGCUUCCACCGCAUGGUGAGUUGCUGGAAAGAAUUUUGGUCAAGGAUGGACUCGCGGCCUAUCAGCUUGUUGGUGAGGUAACGGCUCACCAAGGCGACGACGGGUAGCCGGCCUGAGAGGGUGACCGGCCACACUGGGACUGAGACACGGCCCAGACUCCUACGGGAGGCAGCAGUGGGGAAUAUUGCACAAUGGGCGAAAGCCUGAUGCAGCAACGCCGCGUGAGGGACGACGGCCUUCGGGUUGUAAACCUCUUUUAGCAGGGAAGAAGCGAAAGUGAC
rnacentral:rRNA from 1 species